rnacentral:rRNA from 1 species
GAUGAACGCUGGCGGCGUGCCUAAUACAUGCAAGUCGAGCGAACGGACGAGAAGCUUGCUUCUCUGAUGUUAGCGGCGGACGGGUGAGUAACACGUGGAUAACCUACCUAUAAGACUGGGAUAACUUCGGAAAACCGGAGCUAAUACCGGAUAAUAUUUUGAACCGCAUGGUUCAAAAGUGAAAGACGGUCUUGCUGUCACUUAUAGAUGGAUCCGCGCUGCAUUAGCUAGUUGGUAAGGUAACGGCUUACCAAGGCAACGAUGCAUAGCCGACCUGAGAGAGGGAUCGGCCACACUGGAACUGAGACACGGUCCAGACUCCUACGGGAGGCAGCAGUAGGGAAUCUUCCGCAAUGGGCGAAAGCCUGACGGAGCAACGCCGCGUGAGUGAUGAAGGUCUUCGGAUCGUAAAACUCUGUUAUUAGGGAAGAACAUAUGUGUAAGUAACUGUGCACAUCUUGACGGUACCUAAUCAGAAAGCCACGGCUAACUACGUG